rnacentral:rRNA from 1 species
UCGAGUUGUUUGGGAAUGCAGCUCUAAAUGGGAGGUAAAUUUCUUCUAAAGCUAAAUACUGGCCAGAGACCGAUAGCGAACAAGUAGAGUGAUCGAAAGAUGAAAAGCACUUUGGAAAGAGAGUUAAAAAGUACGUGAAAUUGUUGAAAGGGAAGCGCUUGCAACCAGACUUGUCCGCAGUUGCUCAGCCGGUCUCCUGACCGGCGUACUCUUCUGCGGCCAGGCCAGCAUCAGUUCGGGCGGUCGGAUAAAGGCCUCGGGAAUGUAGCUCCUCUCGGGGAGUGUUAUAGCCCGGGGUGGAAUGCGACCAGCCUGGACUGAGGAUCUCGGUUCGGCAAGGAUGCUGGCGU